rnacentral:rRNA from 1 species
AAUUUAAUUAUAGUUUUAAAAAAAAAUCUUUUAAAUUUUCUUUAUAUUAUAAAAUGUUAAUUUUUUUUAAAAAAUAGAAGAAAUAUUUAUGGUUUAAAGAGAUUUUAAGUAGAAAUUUAAAUAUAGAUUUGGCGAAACUUGUGCCAGCCGCCGCGGUUAUACAAGUGAAUCUUUUUUUUUGUUAUUAUUUUAAUAAAUUUGUAAUUUAAUUAUUAAAGUCUAUUAAGGUGAAAUUUAUAGUUCUUAAAAAUUUAAGUUUAUUGAUUUUAAAAAAAUUUAAAUGUUAAACUAGGAUUAGAUACCCUAUUAUUUUAAGCUAUAUGUUGUUAGUAUAUAAUGAUUAUGAAAUCAUAAGAUUUUGGCGGUAUUUUAAGCUUUUUAGAGGAAUUUGCUCUGUAAUGGAUAAAACGCCUUGAUCUUACUUAAUUUGGUUAAAUCAAUUUGUAUACCACUAUAUUUAAUUAUAUUAAAUAAUUAUAUUUAAGAUUUUUUUAUAAAGAAUUAUAUUAAGUCAAGGUGCAAUAUAAAAUUAUGAAUGAAGUGAAUUACAUUGAUUUUGAUUAAAUAUGUUGAAAGAUGAGAUUAGGAUUUAAAAGUAAAUUAUUAAUAUGAUGGAUAAUUGAAUUAAGCUCUAGAAUAUGCACAUAUCGCCCGUCGCUCUCAAUUUUGAGAUAAGUCGUAACAAAGUAAAAGUACUGGAAAGUG